CGGGCGAGCCGCCCGCGCACGCGCCGUAGGCCAACGUGGGCGUGGCUGCGGGCUCAAGGGGCGGGGCGGCUGAAGGAGCUCGCGGCCAUGCAGGCCCACGGGGACCGCGCCGCGGCGCCCCACGUGUCUAUUAUCCUCCCGGUCUACAACGCUGAACUGUGGCUGGACGAGUGCUUGGAGUCUGUUUUGCAACAGGACUUUGAAGGCUCCAUGGAGCUCUCGGUUUUUAAUGAUGCUAGUAAGGACAAGUCUAUGACUAUCAUUGAGAAAUGGAAAGUGAAACUGGAAAACUCUGGUGUCCUCGUGGUCAUUGGAGGACAUGAUUCUCCUUCACCCCGAGGAGUCGGAUAUUCUAAAAAUCAAGCAAUAGCACAGAGCUCGGGGUCUUACCUUUGCUUUUUGGAUUCGGAUGACGUCAUGAUGCCUCAGAGGGUGAGACUGCAACUGGAAGCUGCUGCCCAACACCCGACAAGUAUUGUAGGUUGCCAGGUGAGGAGAGACCCUCCCAACUCCACUGAGCGAUACACAAGGUGGAUCAACCAGCUAGCGCCAGACCAGCUUCUCACUCAGGUCUUUACCUCCAAUGGCCCAACUGUGAUCAUGCCCACCUGGUUCUGCUCUCGAGCAUGGUUCUCCCACGUGGGCCCAUUUGACGAAGGCGGGCAGGGUGAGCCGGAGGACCUGUUGUUCUUCUACAGCCACCUCAGAAAGGGCGGCGGGGUCAUCCGUGUGGACCAGAGCCUCCUCCUCUACCGCUACCACCCCAACGCGGCCACACACUCUGUCCUCGAGACCACCAUCUGGACCCAUCGCGUGCGCUUUCUGGAAGAGCGGGCGCUGCCACACUGGGCCACCUUCACCAUCUGGAACGCGGGCAGGCAAGGCCGCCGGCUCUAUCGCAGCCUGACAGCCGGGAUGCAGCGCAAGGUGGUUGCUUUCUGUGACGUGGACGAGAACAAGAUCAGGAAAGGCUUCUAUUGCCACGAAGACUCUCAGGAAAGGCCGAAGCCUCGGGUUCCGAUCCUGCACUUCCGAGCUGCACGGCCGCCCUUCGUCAUCUGCGUGAAGCUGCGCAGGGGCACCAGCGUUUCCACGCUGUCCGCUGGCGGUGGUGUUCCAGCCGUCCGGGUGGCUGCUAAGUGUGGUUUUGAUCGUGCGUCUUCCUGACAACUGAUGAUGCCAAGUCUUUGCAGCUGCUUGUUGGCCGUGCGGGUGUCGUCCUGGGAGAAAGGACCUCACCGGGGGCGCAUUUGAGGACAACCUGAGGUCGCUACACCUGCAGGAGGGCCGGGACUUCCUUCACUUCAGCUGAGGGCCUGGACAGCUGCCUCCAGGUGCGCCAAAGGCCCCCAACAGCCACAGCCCAGGAGAGAGAUCGAGGGCGCCAGGGAGGGUGGCCAGUGGUCCCAAGAGGGAGCACGCCAAGCGGGAGGUGGCACCGAAUGCGUGUGGGGCUGGCCCUUCACCUGGAGGGCACGCGCCUGUGGUGGACACGCGAUAAAAUGAGGGGCCGUGAGCACACGGCCUGAGAAGCGUGUCCCUGACCGUCUGUGGGGCACAUACUCUUCUCUGCCGCUGGGGCCCCUGCACCGCCGUCACCCAGCGUGUCUGUCCCGCCAGGAGCUCGUUAGCUCACGCUCCUGACGGACCCUGUGCCACGAGGACAAACACUGCUGGGGGCUGCAGUCUGGCUGUGUCGAUCUCAGGCCAACCCAGGGGCACGGUUCCCGUGUGACUCGGUUAGAGAUGUGGAAACACAGACCAGCAACUGAGAGCGCAGGCUGUGUGCUCAGAGCUCGCGGGGCGGUGUCUUCCGGUCCCAUGAGGAUGGCCGAGACUCAGCGUGGGAAAGGGGGGCUCAGGUGGCCCGCUGGCUGGGGGAGCACGUCUGGCUUUCUCUGGUUGGUCCUUGCUCGCAGGAGGGGCGGCUUAAGGGGGCUGGCAGUUCUCAACCGCGUCCUGGCAGCCUCGGGCUGCUGGCUACGGGGUUCGGGGUUCUCGCUUGGUUUCCUGAACUGGCUGCCGCAGGCCGUGGGCGGUCUCGCACCUUGUCUCUCAGCUCCAGGAACCCCAGUGCUCAAACCCAGGUCGAGAGCAGAUCCCGUCAGCCGUGAGCGACCAAGUCGCCUUUCGCUGCAGGUGAGGGAGCCAGCUUCCUCUUUGCCUCUGGACUCAAGGCCGUUGACAUGCUGCCUCGUCGGCGACUUCUGCCGGAGGUUGGCAGGAGCCUGUGCCAAGAGCUCAUAUGAGGAAGGCCGGGAUCCCGGGCUCACAGGGUCUGUGUUCUGAGUGCAAAGCUCGGGAGGACCAGCAUCCUGCCACAGUGCUCAGUGUCUUCCAGAAACAUGUCUGCUCAUUAUACUGCCUACCUUUUGCUACUCUUGUCCGUUUUCAAAUUCGACUUACUCCCCACGUUAGCCAUCAUUCGUUUUGUGUACCUGGGGUCACUGUCUGCUGACCGUGCCUCCCUGCACAGAGACGCUCGGCUGCCCACACUUUACCCAGGGUGUCACCGCCGUCCCCUUUUGUCCUCAUUCACGCCACCGCGGAGGGCACAACCACACAGGGUCCCAGCUUGGCAUAACGUCCUACCCCCAAGAGGCCACCACAGCGAAGCUUCGCCACCAGUGUUGGGCUGGGCAGACACGGAUACUCAGGAUGCAGCAGCUACUCACGGGGACUGAGCCGUGGCCGUGUGUGCACGUGGCCCCACCAGCCCCGCCCCUGCACGUUCCACCGCAGGCACACUGGCUUCCUGCUCCCCAAGCUCACCAGGUGCUCCUCUCUGUCGGGCGCCCACCUGCUCGCUGCUCCUUUGGAGGGUUUCCCGACCGCUUCCCUCCAAGACAGCCCAACACCCUGGCCGUCGCGUGUGGUUCCGGGCCCUGGAGCUGCUGACCGGGACAGUCCACGUUUGCUCCUGGCCACACUCCCAAGUUAGGGUCUGACAGGACGCCGUCAGGGGAGCACACAAGGUGAACGUUCCCACAUGGUGCCUCGGCCCAGGCAAGGAAACCACUCCCGCUGAAGGACGCAGCAAAAGCACCUGCCGCUCGGCCCCCGUCCCCGUGCACGCCGGAGAGGGGAGCUGGCUCCCCGGCCCUGACCCCGUCGGUCCUUGGCACAGGGCCCCGAACCCAGCGCGGCCACCACCUUCGCCUCCGGUGCGGGCGGCAGCUCCUGCGUCCAGCCCGCAGAUGAGGCGCAGCCCCGCGAAGCGCCGUGCACACCAGCCU